GAUGAACGCUGGCGGCGUGCCUAAUACAUGCAAGUCGAGCGAACAGACGAGGAGCUUGCUCCUCUGACGUUAGCGGCGGACGGGUGAGUAACACGUGGAUAACCUACCUAUAAGACUGGGAUAACUUCGGGAAACCGGAGCUAAUACCGGAUAAUAUAUUGAACCGCAUGGUUCAAUAGUGAAAGACGGUUUUGCUGUCACUUAUAGAUGGAUCCGCGCCGCAUUAGCUAGUUGGUAAGGUAAUGGCUUACCAAGGCAACGAUGCGUAGCCGACCUGAGAGGGUGAUCGGCCACACUGGAACUGAGACACGGUCCAGACUCCUACGGGAGGCAGCAGUAGGGAAUCUUCCGCAAUGGGCGAAAGCCUGACGGAGCAACGCCGCGUGAGUGAUGAAGGUCUUCGGAUCGUAAAACUCUGUUAUUAGGGAAGAACAAAUGUGUAAGUAACUAUGCACGUCUUGACGGUACCUAAUCAGAAAGCCACGGCUAACUACGU
rnacentral:rRNA from 1 species